GGUCCAGCCUGCCCAGUGACUCUGUUCAACGGCCGCGGUAUCCUAACCGUGCAAAGGUAGCGUAAUCACUUGCCCUUUAAAUAAGGUCUAGUAUGAACGGCACCACGAAGGUUAAACUGUCUCCUUUUUCUAAUCAGUGAAACUAAUCUCCCCGUGAAAAAGCAGGGAUGAACCCAUAAGACGAGAAGACCCUAUGGAGCUUUAAAUAUUAACAACAUUUGUCACUCAAUCUUAUAAACAGCAUACAUGUUUGUUAAUUUUUGGUUGGGGCGACCACGGAGUAAAACUCAACCUCCCUGUUGAAACUUGCUAAGAACCACAAUUUAAGCACCAACAAACUGACAUCCAUUGACCCAAUAUUUUGAUCAACGAACCAAGUUACCCUAGGGAUAACAGCGCUAUCCACUUCAAGAGCU
rnacentral:rRNA from 1 species